CUGUCACCCUCUGCCACCCCGUUCUCCUUUUGCCUUCAGUCUUUCCCCACAUCGGGAUCUUUUCCAGCGAGUUAACGCUUAGCAUCAGGUGGUCAAAGUAUUGGAGCUUCAGCUCUUAAAAAAAAAAAAGUUUAAAAAAAUAUGACUCUCAGGGUUGCAACCUCCAUGGUGGAUGGAUGGACGAAACUACCAUUGGUUAAGUUGAGAAAUGAAGAAAAAGGAGCCACCUAUUAGACGGGAAAAGGAAUUUCCCCCAACAGAUGGCGUUUGAGGCAACAGGACAUCGAGGUAGGUAGUCCGGGCAGUUGGAUGACAGAUGACAGAACAGUCAGGGCUGGAAAUAAGGAUCUGGGAGCCGUCUCCCCCCAAACAGCUCUUCCUCCUUCCUUCUGAGUAGAAUCCCACCUGUGUUUGGGUGGCCAGGGCCCAAAUAGAGAGGAAAAAUCAUGAUCGGCCUGAGUCCAGGUAGGGUUCCUCACUUGCCUCUGAUUGGCCCAGGGGUGAGCCAUGUGACCCAACUCUAGCCAGUAAGACGCAUGUAUUUCCGGGAGGGAUUUUUCUCCAAGAGGAGAAGGGCUGUUCUGCAUUCAUGUCCUUCCUUCCUGUCAGUGACCUGCCAGGAGAAAAUGGAAACCGUUAGAGCAGCACCUUGAAGGGCGUGACUGGGCAGAAAGACAGUCAGAACUUCGGGCGCUGCUGCCCUUCUUGAUCCGCUGAACAAAGUCUGGAUUUGCCAACAUCUAGACUUCUUGUGACACUUAUGUUUAUUAAAUGUCUCUGCCUUGGUGCCUCCCCAUGAUGGGUGAGGAACUCGGCUUAUUCCUGGGGACAGUGGCCUGCCACCAGAGAGGCCAUAGCCUGGAGCAAGAUGCCUCACAGGGUCGCGAGGAAACGGCCUGGAUCUUUGACCGGGGCCGCCCCUCCUAAGCAACUGCGUUAUGGAUGGGCCCCCUAACUCACACAAAAGUAUCAUAAAACAUUGGGGAGACCUGUAACACUGCCGUUUAAAGAAGGAGAGAGCCGACCGUGGAGGCGCCCCUGCAGCAGGUUUUACAGAACACGGAUGCUAUUCUGGUGGCCAAGUUUUUUGAUGAACAAAGCAGUAAAACCACAAGAGGUACUUACGUUUUCGUCAUGGAAGAGGAAAGCAAAAUUGGGAUCUCUGAGGUUUCUAAUAAACCAGAAAAGAACCCAGUUGUGUCAAAUGCUAAUCUCCUCUUCUAAUUGUCUGUCUGUCCGUCCUGAUGUCUAACUGGAGGGCAGGUACCAGUAUUGCACACUGCUGGGGGGAAGCUACUCUUCAUUGCCUGUUGUCCAAACACUGGAAAUUUCCUGGAUUCCUUGCUGCAGUCUUCAAAGUUAAUGGACAUUUGCUGACUUUUUAAAAGCUUGCUGUUACCAGGAACAAAAAGAAGCACAAGAGAAAAAUGCUUACCUCCAGAUUCUCCAAGGUAGGCAAAAAAUUCUUCCCAAAGAAAUGAACAACAGUUAUAAAACUGCUCCCGUGAUCUUCAUGAAUCUGGAUCCUGGCUCUCACACGGCAGCCUCCUAGGUCCUGGGUAGGAUUCAGAGACAGGAGGACAGAAGGAACAAGAUGGGAUCUGGUCCUCAGAAGUGGGGUCCAGUAUCGUAUCAGAUGGGUCCUCCUGCCUGGCUGACCCCCCUCCUUCCCACUCUUUCCUGCUCCCACAGCAGCGUCUCAUUUUCUGAAUACUCAGGACGCUUCUCCCCCUGCGCCUGUUUACUUGCUGUCUUCUCCUCCCAGCGGCCUCCAUUCCAUUCCUCCAUCCUUUAACAUUCAAUAUGGAAAAUGCCUCCUCCAGGCAGCUCCCCACCCUGACUAUCUCAGGUUCUGUUAUGUUUCCUUCCAGCAUGUUUCUCUGCCUGCUUUAUCACUGCAUGAAUCACAACGUAUAAUAUUUGCUGAUUUUCAUCUUGGUCUCCCCUAUGGUGCCACCGUGAGCCAGACUGUCUCGUUUGUCUUUGGACAACCGUGUUCAGCACAGUGCCCGUUCCAUACCAGGACGGCUGGAUGAACAGACUCUGAAAUGCUUGACAAUGAGUUCUAGGGUGUCAGAUGGAGCUCCUCAAGUCAAUCAUGCCCACCCGGAAUUGUGACAAUUGUAAUAUGGGUCUGUGCACUAAUUUUAACAUUUCCAAAUGCCAAUUGGACGACAUCAUACAGUAACCAGG